rnacentral:rRNA from 1 species
AUGAACGCUGGCGGCGUGCCUCAUACAUGCAAGUCGAGCGAACGGACGAGAAGCUUGCUUCUCUGAUGUUAGCGGCGGACGGGUGAGUAACACGUGGAUAACCUACCUAUAAGACUGGGAUAACUUCGGGAAACCGGAGCUAAUACCGGAUAAUAUUUUGAACCGCAUGGUUCAAAAGUGAAAGACGGUCUUGCUGUCACUUAUAGAUGGGUCCGCGCUGCAUUAGCUAGUUGGUAAGGUAACGGCUUACCAAGGCAACGAUGCAUAGCCGACCUGAGAGGGUGAUCGGCCACACUGGAACUGAGACACGGUCCAGACUCCUACGGGAGGCAGCAGUAGGGAAUCUUCCGCAAUGGGCGAAAGCCUGACGGAGCAACGCCGCGUGAGUGAUGAAGGUCUUCGGAUCGUAAAACUCUGUUAUUAGGGAAGAACAUAUGUGUAAGUAACUGUGCACAUCUUGACGGUACCUAAUCAGAAAGCCACGGCUAACUACGUG